rnacentral:rRNA from 1 species
UACGUAGGUGGCAAGCGUUGUCCGGAAUUAUUGGGCGUAAAGCGCGCGCAGGCGGUCCUUUAAGUCUGAUGUGAAAGCCCACGGCUCAACCGUGGGGGGUCAUUGGAAACUGGGGGACUUGAGUACAGAAGAGAAGAGUGGAAUUCCACGUGUAGCGGUGAAAUGCGUAGAGAUGUGGAGGAACACCAGUGGCGAAGGCGACUCUUUGGUCUGUAACUGACGCUGAGGCGCGAAAGCGUGGGGAGCAAACAGG